GCUGCUGCUGCUGCUGCAGCUUUCGAAGCUUGCAGCAGGAGACAUCUCAGGAGCCAUCAUCAUCAGGCACCGCUUCUUGGAUGGUGGUUGUGGUGGUGGUGGAGCUUGAGUUGCGGAUGGUGACUGCCCAAAAUUGAGCUUUGCCUUGUCUCCACGGAUGCGCUUCGCUGCCUCAUCAUAGGCUCUGGCAGCUUCUUCAGCUGUGUUAUAAGUACCGAGCCAGACACGAACUCCCUUGUGUGGGUCUCUGAUCUCAGCAGC
rnacentral:misc_RNA from 1 species